UACGGAGGGCGCGAGCGUUGUCCGGAAUUACUGGGCGUAAAGGGCGCGUAGGCGGCCUGCUAAGUCGGACGUGAAAUCCCCCGGCUCAACCGGGGAACUGCGUCCGAUACUGGUGGGCUCGAAUCCGGGAGAGGGAUGUGGAAUUCCAGGUGUAGCGGUGAAAUGCGUAGAUAUCUGGAGGAACACCGGUGGCGAAGGCGGCAUCCUGGACCGGUAUUGACGCUGAGGCGCGAAAGCCAGGGGAGCAAACGGG
rnacentral:rRNA from 1 species